rnacentral:rRNA from 1 species
UCCUACGGGAGGCAGCAGUAGGGAAUCUUGCGCAAUGGGCGAAAGCCUGACGCAGCAACGCCGCGUGGGGGAUGAAGGCCCUCGGGUUGUAAACUCCUUUCAGUGGGAACGAAAUUGACGGUACCCACAGAAGAAGCCCCGGCUAACUACGUGCCAGCAGCCGCGGUGAUACGUGGGGGGCGAGCGUUGUCCGGAUUCACUGGGCGUAAAGAGCUCGUAGGCGGCUUGAUAAGUCGGGUGUGAAACCCCCAGGCUCAACCUGGGAUCGCCACUCGAUACUGUCAUGGCUAGAGUCCGGUAGGGGACCAUGGAGUUCCUGGUGUAGCGGUGAAAUGUGCAGAUAUCAGGAGGAACACCAGUAGCGAAGGCGGUGGUCUGGGCCGGUACUGACGCUGAGGAGCGAAAGCGUGGGGAGCGAACAGGAUUAGAUACCCUGGUAGUCCACGCUGUAAACGAUGGGCAGUAGGUGUGGGGAGCUGUAGACGCU